AUUGAACGCUGGCGGCAUGCCUUACACAUGCAAGUCGAACGGCAGCACGGGGGCAACCCUGGUGGCGAGUGGCGGACGGGUGAGUAAUGCAUCGGAACGUGCCCUGAAGUGGGGGAUAACGCAGCGAAAGCUACGCUAAUACCGCAUAUUCUGUGAGCAGGAAAGCAGGGGAUCGCAAGACCUUGCGCUUUGGGAGCGGCCGAUGUCGGAUUAGCUAGUUGGUGGGGUAAAGGCCUACCAAGGCGACGAUCCGUAGCGGGUCUGAGAGGAUGAUCGCCACACUGGGACUGAGACACGGCCCAGACUCCUACGGGAGGCAGCAGUGGGGAAUUUGGACAAUGGGCGAAAGCCUGAUCAGCCAUGCCGCGUGAGUGAAGAAGGCCUCGGGUU
rnacentral:rRNA from 1 species